AGCGAACGCUGGCGGCAGGCUUAACACAUGCAAGUCGAGCGGGCACUUUCGGGUGUCAGCGGCGGACGGGUGAGUAACGCGUGGGAACGUGCCCUCUGGUUCGGAAUAACUCAGGGAAACUUGAGCUAAUACCGGAUACGCCCUUUUGGGGAAAGGCUUGCUGCCGGAGGAUCGGCCCGCGUCUGAUUAGCUAGUUGGUGAGGUAACGGCUCACCAAGGCGACGAUCAGUAGCUGGUCUGAGAGGAUGAUCAGCCACUGGGACUGAGACACGGCCCAGACUCCUACGGGAGGCAGCAGUGGGGAAUAUUGGACAAUGGGCGCAAGCCUGAUCCAGCCAUGCCGCGUGAGUGAUGAAGGCCUUAGGGUUGUAAAGCUCUUUUAUCCGGGACGAUAAUGACGGUACCGGAGGAAUAAGCCCCGGCUAACUUCGUG
rnacentral:rRNA from 1 species